UUGUGUGUGCACUUCCUUGUUUGUUUUUGUCACCAUGGUUACUUGAUUUGUUCACCUGCCUUUGUUAGCACACCUGCUUUUCAUUAGAGACCUUAUUUAAGCCUGCCUUCUCCCGUUGUUUGCUUCAUGCAACAUUCACGCUGGUGUCUUGUAUGUUCUUUACUAUUGUUAGGUCUCGUCUUAGCUUCGCGUACGCUCCGCACGUCGACUUUUGGACUCUUUGAACUCGAUGCUUGUUAGCAUUAGCUUCUCGUGCCUUCAGGCACGCCUUUCGUUUGCUGUUUUGGACCAGUGUUAUUUUACUAUUUGUAUAUUAAACCAAGCUCCUACCUGCAAUUUUGGCUCCUCCUGGUCCUCGUGCAUCCUUGGGGUGACAACGCGCAUCCAUAAUGCGUCGCCAAAGCGUCACAAUGAUUGCAUGGCUGAUUACAGAGGAGACAUUAUAUUAUUUGGCUUCGAUGGGGAGAAGAGGCGCCAGGAUCGAACCGAAGCGAGAGUGGACAAUUAUUUUAUAACCGGAAGCGAUGCCCUCCGGUUCAGUCCACUUCAGAGAUAUGGAUGAUGUUGUGACAUCCGUGAUUUGGAGAUCCCUAACUGCAGCAGGCUCUACCAAUGUCGAUGCAGGAAGAGAAUGAUCAAAAAGUUGAGCACAACACUCAAUAAAGCAG